UCUCCGGGCCUCACCCCGUCCUCCCCUGGGAGCUGGGGAAUGCCUAGAGACCGGCGAUGGUAGGACCUUAGCAGACCCACGGCGUCGGCGUCGGUAGGAUCUUAGCAAACCGACGCCGUGCUUCUACCGACUGUUCUCUGCAGCCGUGGGCGAAUGCACAGAACUCUGCAUGCCCGGCUCCAGAGCCUAACCCCGAAGGCCGGGCCGGGCGCCUGCGCAGACGCUGGGGGCGGCGCCAUCUUGGGCGGACGCUAUCUCCCGCUCCUUCGGGCCGCGAGGACUCCUGCAGAGGAAGGCUUCGCGUCCCUGGCGUGACUCAUGUGGCGUCCCCGGCCGGCGUCACAGCCUGGGUUUCUGUGGCCAGCCCCCGAAAGGCCUCCAGGCGGUCGGGAGCGGCGUGCUUCUCUGAGCCCGGGAUUUGCGGAGAGGGCCGCCCACCCGCAGGAGAGCACGCACGGGCGGGGGUCUCGGAGGAGCACCGCUGCCGUGUCCACAGCAGCUUCCCGAAGAUGGGAGCGCCUGUCCUCGGAAGCUCAGCCGCUGUGUGCCUGUUCUGGACAGUUUACAUGAAUGGAAGAGAGCUAUUCCGACUGGCUCCUUCACUAAGUGUAAUGUUUUCAAAAUGGAUCCAUGUUGUGAUGUAUCAGUGAUGGGCCUUUAGCAAAACCAGCCAGGCCUGCCUGGCCUGAUGAUCUGUGCUGUGGAAAACAUAUCACCUCUCCAUACCAUUUUAGUCACAUCUGAGGUGUUGACAU